AUUGAACGCUGGCGGCAUGCCUUACACAUGCAAGUCGAACGGCAGCACGGGAGCAAUCCUGGUGGCGAGUGGCGAACGGGUGAGUAAUACAUCGGAACGUGCCCAGUAGUGGGGGAUAACCCGGCGAAAGCCGGACUAAUACCGCAUACGACCUACGGGUGAAAGCAGGGGAUCGCAAGACCUUGCGCUAUUGGAGCGGCCGAUGUCAGAUUAGCUUGNGGUGGGGCAAAAGCCUACCAAGGCAACGAUCUGUAGCUGGUCUGAGAGGACGACCAGCCACACUGGGACUGAGACACGGCCCAGACUCCUACGGGAGGCAGCAGUGGGGAAUUUUGGACAAUGGGCGCAAGCCUGAUCCAGCCAUGCCGCGUGCGGGAAGAA
rnacentral:rRNA from 1 species